rnacentral:lncRNA from 1 species
UAAGGAUUUCCAAACUUCUGAAUUUCACAAACAACGCCGAAACCUAUCAAACCUUGCCCAAAUGACCUAAAACUUUACACACAUGUCAAAAAUGACAUAAUGGACAUGCUCCAGUUUUCGAGAUUUCAUUCCAACCCCGAUAUCAAGAUUUUCAUCGCCGACCGAAAAAUGUCAAAUUUGUAACUUUGCCAAUUCAAGCCUAAAUCCACCACGGACCUCCAAAUUACAUUCUGAACACGCUCCAAAGUCCAAAAUCACCUAACCAAGCUAUCUUAACCGUCAGAAUUCAAAUUCAAGAUCUUCUAUAUAUAAGUCAAUAACCCAUUGACUUUUCCAACUUAAGCUUCUAAAUAAGAUACUAAGUGUCUCAUUCCACUCCAAGACUACUCUGAACAUAAAACAACCAACACGAUAUGAUGAAAUACAAUUGAACAACACAUAAAGAAGCAUAAAUAGGGGAAGCGGGGCUAUAACUUAUGAAACGGCCAGAUGGGUCGUUACAUCCUCCCCCUUUUAAACAAAUAUUUGUCCUCGAACGAGUCAAGCAAUAUACCUGAAGCCUUAAAUAGGUGCGGAUAUCUGCUCUGCAUCUCUCGCUCAGUCUCCAAAGUAG